AUAAAUAGGAAAACAAAGAAAGAGGAACUAGGGAUUUGGCUUCUUCAUCAUUCAAAACAAACUCCCUCCUCUUCGUUCCCUUCGACGGUGCCGGCAAUAGCCUCAACUUCAUCUCCGAUUCUCAACCUCAGUGUCACUCUAUCGUGGCGAUUUUGCUCUCCGAUUCAAAUAAUAGAUACGAAAAUAGUGUACAUGAUGAGGAAGAGGAAUUGCUUACCUACCAGAGAACUUCAGUGGUUCUUCAACAGCCGCGAAGACAAGAAAUCUCAAACAGAUGAGGCUUGUUGGAAUUGCGGUCGUUGUUGA